rnacentral:lncRNA from 1 species
AUGUACUAUUCAAAAAAGGAUGCAAUGGAGAACAUUUACAGAGGACUGUGGGUAAAGCAAAGUCUUCAAGGGAAGAUAACAAAGGAUGAAACAAUGGUGUUGUGUGACUUCCUAGUGUGAAUCAUGGCAAUACAGUGAAAGACAGUGAUUUACUGCUUUUGAGGGCGUGCAUGUAUAUGAUUAACGGAUGGAAGUGCAGGACUCCAAGAUUUACUUCCUUCCCUUUCCAGCAGAAUUACCUGAGACGAGUAAAAUCUACUGGUGGAGUCACUCCAUUAUUCUUAUCUGUGGAGAUCUAGAUCUUGAUUUGAAAGUUUCUGAGAAAAUCUUCAGCUCAGACUUGAGGGUCAACUUUACCAGCUGAAGGAUCUGCAUUUACUGCUCAACCACAUCUAAUUUGAUGUCCUCUGCAGAUUUAAAAUGUGUGCCUUCUUUUCCGUCACCAAGUCAUCCCUGGGUUACUACUGAACAUCCUUCUCAAUUCCCCCCGACCCAUGGAUGGCUGUUCUCCAUUGUCUGUUUCACCAGAUGUCCUCAAAACAAACAGACAGAAGAAGGAAGUGGCUAAUGGAGCUGUGGAGUCCAAGUGUGACUGCCAAGAGGAAUCCAGCAAAGCCAAAAAGCCCAAGCAUGUAGCCCUGCCCGAAGCACGCCACACGCAUGGAAAACCCAGAGGAAAUGAGUGAGGAUCAAUGGGAAGAAGAGAGCCAGCCAGGUUCGAUGCCUUCUCCAUCCGUCAGUGAGGGUGUGGAGAGCCUGCAGGCGUGUGCCUCCCUCUGUAACUUGCUAUUCCUUGUGUAAUGUCAAGUGGAAGUGUGAAGCACCACAAACUGCUCUGAGCAGAGCCCACUUCCCUUCACCCACGGAGAGCGUGAAGCAGUUACACCAACAUCAAUCAAGGAAAACCCACAGGCUGAGCUCACACGGUUGAAGCAGGAAGUUGAAGAUUUGUCCAGGAGCAGAUAGCUGAAGAGAGAGAGAGAGAAGAGAGAACGGCUUACAGCUCAGGUCCUCUCUCCAUGCUUAGGAACCACUACAAAUGCUACUGCCUUGAGUCUCAUUUUGUUUCCCUCUGGAAACCACAUGUGUACCUUGUUUGCAACAGUAUGGGCUCACAGGCAGAAGGAAUUUUCCUUGUCUUGGAUGAGACUUUUGACUUGGACUUUUGGGUUAAGUUCUGGAGACCAGAAGGCCAAAAUCAAAAGUAUGGGCAGGCUUGAUUUCUUUAGAAGACUCCAGCGGAGAACUGUGUCUCCUUGCUUCUGAUUCUACAUCUCCAUCCAUGGGCCACUGUUUCAGCAACCUCAGCCAGUGCAACACAACCUCAGCCAAGAAGAGUAUGCAGAGAAAGGAGUCCCCUACCUGCCACAAAACUGUUGUCUGAAAACUGUCUCAUAUUGUCUCAAGUUGUCAUUCAUUGUGAAUUAGACCUGUUUAACAUGUAA